UCCCUGCGGUCCAAGUCGCAGCCAUCAUUAUUGGGUCUAAGACAUCCGUAGCUUGUUUGGUAAGUUUUCUGUGAAAUCCGGCAUCUUAAGUGUCGGGCGUGCAGAGAGUACUGCCAGGCUAGAGACUGGAAGACGUAAGAAGUAUGUUCAGAGUAGUAGUGAAAUAUUUUAAUCCUGGACAGACUCACAACAGCGAAGGCAUCUUACGAGGACAGUUCUGACAGUAAGGGAUGAAGGCUAGGGUCGCGAAAGG
rnacentral:rRNA from 1 species